AGCUUCUGAGCAAGACCCAACAGGGCCGAACUAACGCCGCCGCCGAGCGCAGAUUAUUGCCAAACCCGGAAGUGCUCCUUUCACUUCCGUAGGGAAGAGGCGGUGACAAAGAGAAGAAACCGAGAGUGGUUUCUUGAGUUUAUUGGUACCACUGCCAUCGGCCAGCAGAGUACCUGAAAGU